ACUGCUCAGUAACACGUGGAUAACCUGCCCAAGGGUCCGGGAUAACCCCGGGAAACUGGGGAUAAUACCGGAUGGAUCACUAGUGCUGGAAUGCUUGGUGGUUUAAAGGUAACGCCUUUGGAUGGGUCUGCGGCGGAUUAGGUUGACGCCGGUGUAACGUACCGGCGUGCCUGUAAUCCGUACGGGUUGUGGGAGCAAGAGCCCGGAGAUGGAUUCUGAGACACGAAUCCAGGCCCUACGGGGCGCAGCAGGCGCGAAAACUCUACAAUGCAGGCAACUGCGAUAGGGGGACAUCGAGUGGCAUCCACCUUGGGUGCCUGUCCAACCGUCUAAAAAACGGUUGUUAGCAAGGGCCGGGUAAGACCGGUGCCAGCCGCCGCGGUAAUACCGGCGGCUCGAGUGGUGGCCGAUAUUAUUGAGUCUAAAGGGUCCGUAGCCGGCUUUGCAAGUCCCCUGGGAAAUCCAGCGGCUUAACCGUUGGGCUUUCAUGGGAUACUACAUUGCUUGGGACUGGGAGAGGUAGGAGGUACUCGGGGGGUAGGGGUGAAAUCCUGUAAUCCUCCGGGGACCACCGGUGGCGAAGGCGUCCUACCAGAACAGGUCCGACGGUGAGGGACGAAAGCUAGGGGCACGAACCGGAUUAGAUACCCGGGUAGUCCUAGCCGUAAACGAUGCCCGCUAGGUGUCACGACGGUCGUGAAUCGUCGUGGUGCCGUAGGGAAGCCGCGAAGCGGGCCACUUGGGAAGUACGGCCGCAAGGCUGAACUUAAAGGAAUUGGCGGGGGAGCAC
rnacentral:rRNA from 1 species